GAACCAACAGUUUUCCAGUUCCGAAGAUCAUUGAGGAUGACGUGGGUUGAUUUUGUUGGACAAAUAGGAGGACUUCUUGGACUUUGUAUAGGGUUCAGUCUUUUAUCUGGAGUUGAGAUAUUUUACUGGUUUACCCUACGCUUGUCGCAGAGGAA